GACGAAGGGGGCUAGCGUUGUUCGGAAUUACUGGGCGUAAAGCGAGUGUAGGCGGUUGCCCAAGUCAGGUGUGAAAGCCUUGAGCUCAACUCAAGAAAUGCACUUGGUACUGGGUGGCUAGAGGACCGGAGAGGAUAGUGGAAUUCCCAGUGUAGUGGUGAAAUACGUAGAGAUUGGGAAGAACACCAGUGGCGAAGGCGGCUAUCUGGACGGUUACUGACGCUGAGACGCGAAAGCGUGGGGAGCAAACAGGG
rnacentral:rRNA from 1 species